CUGGCGGGGAGAGUGGAGUUGAAAAGGACAGGGUCCAGGCAGACGAGCAAAUAGACGGGGCUGCCCAGGCAGCGGCUGGAAGAUUGAGAGAGCUGAAGUUCAAGAGUGCUGCUGAAGAAGCUUACUGGGGAGCAAGGAGCUUAUUAGGAAUGUUGCCGGGCAGUGAUGGCGCACACCUUUAAUCCCAGCAAUCGGGAAGCAGAAGCAGGUGGACCUCUGUGAGUCAGAGGCCAGCCCGGUCUACAGGGUGUGGUAUGGUGGCUCCUGUCUGCAAUCCCAGCUCUCAAGAGACUGAGG